rnacentral:lncRNA from 1 species
UCCACUUAAUUUGUAGUGUUGUUUGUUGCACUUUGCCAUGCCAUGCUUCUUUAAACCGGACAUGCAUCAUACUUGGUUGUGCAUCAUGCCAUGUUUAUGUGUUGGUUGUUUACUAUGUUGUUUGCUUCUUUCCGGUGUUGCUUCUUCGGGUUGGUUCCGAUAACGUCGCGUUUGUGAGGAUUCGUUCGACUACGUCCAUGUUUCUUCUUCAUGGACUCGUUCUUCUUCCUCGCGGGAUCCCAGGCAAGAUGACCAUACCCUCGAAAUCACUUCUAUCUUUGCUUGCUAGUUGCUCGCUCUAUUGCUAUGCCGCGAUAUCUACCACUUGGUAUAUCAUGCCUCCCAUAUUGCCAUGUCAAGCCUCUAACCCACAUUUCCUAGCAAACCUUUGUUUGACUAUGUUACCGCUUUUGCUCAGCCCCUCUUAUAGCGUUGUUAGUUGCAGGUGAAGAUGAAGUUUGUUCCAUGUUUGGAACAUGGUUAUGUUGGGAUAUCACAAUAUCUCUUGUUUAUAUUAAUGCAUCUAUAUACUUGGUAAAGGGUGGAAGGCUCGGCCUUAUGCCUGGUGUUUUGUUCCACUCUUGCCGCCCUAGUUUCCGCCAUACCGGUGUUAUGUUCCUUGAUUUUGCGUUCCUUACGCGGUUGGGUUAUAAUGGGAACCCCUUGACAGUUCCCUUGAAUAAAACUCCUCAAGCAAGGCCCAGCCUUGGUUUUACCAUUUGCCACCUAGCCUUUUUUCCCUUGGGUUUCCGGAGCCCGAGGGUCAUCUUUAUUUAAACCCCCCCGGGCCAGUGCUCCUUUGAGUGUUGGUCCAACCUGUCAGCCGCCGGUGGCCUCCAGGGGCAACUCUGGGUUGGCCUACCAGAAGUUUGGACAAUCUGGUGUGCCCUGAGAAUGAGAUAUGUGCAGCUCCUAUCGGGAUUUGUUGGCACAUCCGGGUGGCUUUGCUGGUCUUGUUUUACCAUUGUCGAAAUGUCUUGUAACCGGGAUUCCGAGUCUGAUCGGGUCUUCCUAGGAGAAGGAAUAUCCUUCGUUGACCAUGAGAACUUAUGAUGGGCUAAGUUUGGACACCCAUGCAGGGUUUUGAACUUUCGAAAGCCAUGCCCGCGGUUAUGGGCAGAUGGGAAUUUGUUAAUGUCCGGUUGUAGAGAACUUGACACUUAACUUAAUUAAAAUGCAUCUACCGCGGUUGUAGCCGUGAUGGUCUCUUUCCGGCGGAGUCCGGGAAGUGAACACGGUUCUUGUGUUAUGCUUGAACGUAAGUAGUUUCAGGAUCAAUUCUUGAUCACUUCUAGUUCACGACCGUGCAUUGCUUCUCUUCUCGCUCUUAUUUGCGUAGUUUUAGCCACCAUAUAUGCUAGUGCUUGCUGCAGCUCCACCUCACUACCCUUUCAUACCCAUAAGGUUAAAUAGUCUUGAUCUCGCGGGUGUGAGAUUGUUGAGUACUCGUGGCUCACAGAUUACUUACAAAACCAAUUGUAGGUGUCGUUGAUACCAAUGCAGAUGACGCAGCUGAGCUCAACUGGGAGCUCGAUGAAGAUCAUGUUCGUUGUGUUGUUUCGUUUCCAGUUGAUCAGUAGUGGAGCCCAGUCGGGGCGAUCGGGGAUCUAGCAUUAGGGGUGGUCUUCUUUUAUUUUGGUUCCGUAGUCGGACAUUGAUUGUAUUCUGGAUGAUGUAAUGCUAUAUUUAUGUAUUGUGUGAAGUGGCGAUUGUAAGCCAACUCUUUAUCCCUUUCUUAUUCAGUACAUGGGAUGUGUAAAGAUUAUCCCUCUUGCGACAUGCCUACAAUGCGGUUAUGCCUCUAAGUCAUGCUCCGACACGUGGGAGAUAUAGCCGCAUCGUGGGUGUUACAACUGUACACACUCAGUUUACUGUUGAAUCCAGUUCCCCAAGAGCUAAAAAAC